GUCCAGAUUUUACCAUUUUGGAACUUAUUAUCUGAAAGGAAAGCUUCAAUCAGGCAAAGAAGUGCAGAUUUUUAAUUAAUUUUUUUUCACUGCAGCUUCAAAUUCUUGGGCUUUAAGCAAUCCUCCCUGUUCAGCCUCCCAAGCAACUAGGACAACAGGCAAAAGCUACUGAACCCAGCUCAGAUUUUUGACAUUUUAGCACCAAUCAGUUUAGGCAUUAGCUGUCAAAUGAAUUAUUCCAAAUGAUGCAUCUGUUAAACAAUGCAAAUUUAAAAUUAAGGUAGCAGGAUAGUUUCAGCAGUUUUAAAAUACAUAUAGUUACUCAUGCGUUCAAUAAUUAAAUCUAGUUAAAUCCUUCAUUUUUAUUAUAGAUACAUCUAGUUUUACCAGCCAAUAGUCUUUUAGAUUUUGGAAUCUGUUGCUGAUUUUUAACUAACAGAAGACCAGGGAACGAACAACCGUUGGCAGGACAACAAAAUAACCAAAAACAGCACAGUCUGGGUCACUUCUGGAGUGGCUUCUGCUCCCUCUUGCUUUAUCCUUGACAUAGGAGAACAAUCAUUUCAUAUUAAUUCAGAAACUGUUUCAUGAUUUUAACUAUCCUCCUGCUGUCAGAGGUAUUCAAGCCAGAGAAUGGAUUCUUUCUUUCUUAGAUCCUGGAAAUUUCUUUGUCCUGAGAUGUGGAAGAAAAAAAAAAUUCUCAUAAGCUGCCUCAAAGCUUGGCUCCAUUUUGAUAAGUGUCUCUCAUCACUCUGUUUGCCAGGUAUCAUUAAUAAAAUUUCUAACCUCAUGCUUUUCAGAAAUAGGCACAUAACUUCCCUGACCUCUCAUGUCACUUUCAGCUAGUCAAAGUAUGACUGGAGAGCUCAGUCUAGGUGAGGGCUCUUAAAGCUUAAGAGAAGCUAGAAAUAUCUUGCAAUGGUGAGCAAAAAGUUCUGAGAUGAGAGCAUUGGGUCAUUCUAAGACAAAGGUGGCAGUACAUGAGGGCACUAAGAAAUAAUGUGAACUGGAGAAUCCAUAUGAAACCCCAGGGUAUAUCAUGUUUUUUACCCCAGUCAACACCUAAAUUUUAUCUAGGUCCAAUAAAAGCCUCACAGUUUCAAUGUACCUACAAUGAGCUUCCUGGACCUUCAGCCCCAUUCCUUUGGUUUGCGAGUAAAAAACAAAAGCCGACCAUCCAGUUUGAUAGAUGAAGAUCACAUCCUCUCUGAGAGCAGUUUCUAGCCUAUUAGCACCCCUGCACCUGGCGUUGACAAUUCUCGAGACUCUACGGCAUGAUCAAGGAUGAUGAUGAUUGGGAAAUGAUUCAGAAGAAUGACUGAUGCUCCCCUUACCCAGAUUGCUCCUGGCCUGGUCACAUGGAGAGAGAACGUUACUUUCCAGGAGAACACAAUGGUUGACGCUUUAACCUCAGGAAGAAAGGCAGAGAAUAUCACUGUCAUCUUGGCCAUCCCUCUGACACAACGGGCAGGUGAAAAUUAUCUAGAGAAGUGCUGGUGGUACCAAGGGACAGGUUCUUAACCUCCUGUGCCAGUGGUCCUCAGUGGUGACAUGGAGCACUAAUAGCACUAAUUGCCUAAGUUUAAGAUGAAAUACAACAUCUUAAGAAUGCCAGAAAUGUUCUGUAUAUUGAUCUAAGUGUGAGUUUGUAACAACAGUGUAUUUGCCAAAGUCCAUGGAGCUGUUUAUGUAACGUUUUAUACUAUAGUACUUUUGGGGGAAAUAUGAUCUACAAAAUACAUCUGGCAAAGAGAAAAUGCAUGCAUAGUAAAUGCACAGCUCAAGGAAUUAUAAGAUGAACAUGUAUCUGUGAACUAUACCUUCAAAAAGAACAUCAGUUAUUGACAUCAUAAAAGCCCUCUUUGUUAAUAUCCCUUCAAGGCAUCUAUAACCAUAGUUUUAACAUUUAGACUUUCCAUAUGGAAUCAUACAUUAUGUACCAUUUUGUGUCUGACUUCCUUGGCUCAUCAGGCUGAGACUGAACCACGUACCAAUUCUCAUGAAUAUGAUAUGGGAGCGGGACAGGGAAGUGCUACGUAGAGAAAGGCAGGGUGCCUGGUGAGGGCUCCACCCUCAGGCCUGUGGCCACAAACCUAGGUGAGGACUGGCACUCCUGUUUUCACACUCAAAUGCUGCAUUUGCCAAGACCACCCUGGCCCACUACGCCCCCCAUCCUGUGCCUAUAAUAAUCCCUAGACCAUAGCAGGGACACUCACAAGUGGCUGGAUGGCAAGAAGAACACACUGGCAGAAGAACACACAACAGGCCAUGGACAAUAGAACAAUGCAGACACCGACGGAAAUUCAACCAAGGGCGGUGAAAGUAGAGUGCAGCCGCUGAGUGGCCCAACUCCAGGGGAAGACCACUUUCCCACUCCAUCUCUCUUCUGGCUCGCCAUCCGUCUAGUGAGAGCUACUUCCCCCGCUCAGUAAAACCUUGCACUCAUUCUGCAAGCCCACGUGUGAUCUGAUGUUUCCUGUGCACUAGGGAAAAAACCCCAUGAUACAGAAAGCCCUCUGCCCUUCUGACAAGGCAAGGGGUCUACGUGAGCUGAUUAACACAAGCCACCUGCCUACGGCAAAGCUGAAAGAGCACACUGUAACACAUGCCCACCGGAGCUUCAGGAGCCAUAAACAUUCAACCUUACCCACCGCCAGGGGGUUGGGGCCCACACUCUCCACAAUCUGCCCGCCUGCUUGCUCCCCGGACUGAAGGGGAGUGCCGCUCCCCGUGUCUAACACUCUGCCGGGGGAUAGGGGGAUAGAACUUUUCUUGUUUCAACUGGGGAGUCAUCUGGGGUCCCGGAAGGUGAGUGCAAAUGUGAAACUGUCAGAUCUGCCUCUUUUCCAAAACCCUGCCCCCUCUCUUUCUUACAGACAAAAGGAUCUGUUUCCCUUCAAGGAGAUUUAACUGCCCUAAGGGGGCUGGUCAAAACCCCCAUAUUUUAGGUGCCCUAAGCGGGCUGGUCAAAACCCCAACUUUGUCUCUUUUCUCUCUCUCGUGGUUUGAAAUGGCUGUUAACUCUUCCUUUAUAACGUUAAGGGUUUUGCUACAGGCUGCAGCAAUGCCAUUAAGUAAAAUGGCUCAGCUGCCAGAAGUGCAAAUCUGAUGAACUGUCCUUAGAGGUGCCAUCUCUGCCUCCAGCCCCACAGAGGCAGACCCACACAGCUCAGGGAGCCUCCCCUUACCUUGUUUCCUCCCAGCGUGGAAACCCGGGCGCGUUCACAGCAUGCAAAGGCCGUGUCUAACAGCCAUGAGCUGCGGUAGGUGAGAGAAAACCACGGUGGUAGCCAGGACCUCACAGGGCUGGCAAGCAAGUGCUUCUUGCCUGUCACACCAAUGGAACCUUUCCUCUCCUGGCCAAGGGAUUCAACCAAGUAUGAACCAGAGAAAGGAUACAAGGAUUAAAGGGACCCGCUUGCACAGGGCAAGGAGGUCUUUCCCUAGAACCUCCCCGUUUUGACCCUUAGCCUGUUUUUUCUACUUUUUUCCUUUUCUAAGCGAGAGGACUCCCAUUUCCCAACACUCUAUUUCUGAUAGGGAAGUUAACAAAGAACCAUCCCUUGCUGGCUGAUAACUGCAAAUUCAGCAGGCUCAUUUGAGACACUGUCCAAACAGAAGCAGUCUCUGAAAUACCUUUUCGGUCCCCAACUUCAUUCCAAGCCUCCGGCUGAGACCUUAGAAAGAAAGACCAGGUCAGAGGGACCCAAAGCCAGGCAACAGGCACAAUGUAAGUAGGCAGCACUAAUUCCUGUUGGCUCAACCCCCAACACCAUGGAAGGAGGCCAUACUCCAUGGCAUAAACAGGCGCAGAGAACUCAAAGUUUGCCAGCAGCAGGGAGAAAGGAGGCACACGUGAGGGUGGUUAAUUCCUAUUCUCCAGGUUUUCCCUGCUCCAUGGGUCCACGCUGCAUUGGUACCUAUGGGCAACACCUGCCGAGGUCACUGAGACUGAGGCAUAAGAGGUGGAAGGGAAGGGAGGAUACUAGCUUUCCUUCUCCAUCACACACUCAAGUUUUUGCUUCAGCAAAACUGAAGUUAAGGAAAUGAGACAUGCCUCUAUUCCCUGACUUUCAGAAUGGGCAACCAGCUCUCUUCACCACUCCCAGCUUAUAUUCCUCUGCUUCUUGUGUAUCCUGAACCAUUGAGACUGCUUUGACCCUCAGAAUCUGGGGGAAAAUGCCUGAUGGCCCUCAAAGAGCCCAUCAAACUCCAAACAGGCAGGCAACCAGAACCUCAAGACAAUGGUUCCCCCUUGCUAAGAACCCCUAAUUCAAUAGAGCUCCAGAAGGAAUCUGUCUGCCAUUUUCC